UGAGGAAUAUUGGUCAAUGGGCGCUAGCCUGAACCAGCCAAGUCGCGUGAGGGAAGAAUGGUCUAUGGCCUGUAAACCUCUUUUUCAAGGGAAGAAUAAGCGGUACGCGUACCGUGAUGCCAGUACCUUGCGAAUAAGCAUCGGCUAACUCCGUGCCAGCAGCCGCGGUAAUACGGGGGAUGCGAGCGUUAUCCGGAUUUAUUGGGUUUAAAGGGCGCGUAGGCGGGAUGCCAAGUCAGCGGUAAAAGACUGCAGCUAAACUGUAGCACGCCGUUGAAACUGGCGACCUAGAGACAAGUCGAGGGAGGCGGAACAAGUGAAGUAGCGGUGAAAUGCUUAGAUAUCACUUGGAACCCCGAUAGCGAAGGCAGCUUCCCAGCCUUGAUCUGACGCUGAUGCG
rnacentral:rRNA from 1 species